rfam:Neocallimastix californiae strain G1 LY90scaffold_428, whole genome shotgun sequence.
AGAGGCUUAGUGCAGUGGAAGUGUGGUGGGCUCAUAACCCACAGAUCGUAUGAUUGAAACAUACCGCUGCUA